UCCACCGGAGCUUGCUCCACCGGAAAAAGAGGAGUGGCGAACGGGUGAGUAACACGUGGGUAACCUGCCCAUCAGAAGGGGAUAACACUUGGAAACAGGUGCUAAUACCGUAUAACAAUCGAAACCGCAUGGUUUUGAUUUGAAAGGCGCUUUCGGGUGUCGCUGAUGGAUGGACCCGCGGUGCAUUAGCUAGUUGGUGAGGUAACGGCUCACCAAGGCCACGAUGCAUAGCCGACCUGAGAGGGUGAUCGGCCACAUUGGGACUGAGACACGGCCCAAACUCCUACGGGAGGCAGCAGUAGGGAAUCUUCGGCAAUGGACGAAAGUCUGACCGAGCAACGCCGCGUGAGUGAAGAAGGUUUUCGGAUCGUAAAACUCUGUUGUUAGAGAAGAACAAGGAUGAGAGUAGCUGUUCAUCCCUUGACGGUAUCUAACCAGAAAGCCACGGCUAACUACGUGCCAGCAGCCGCGGUAAUACGUAGGUGGCAAGCGUUGUCCGGAUUUAUUGGGCGUAAAGCGAGCGCAGGCGGUUUCUUAAGUCUGAUGUGAAAGCCCCCGGCUCAACCGGGGAGGGUCAUUGGAAACUGGGAGACUUGAGUGCAGAAGAGGAGAGUGGAAUUCCAUGUGUAGCGGUGAAAUGCGUAGAUAUAUGGAGGAACACCAGUGGC
rnacentral:rRNA from 1 species